UACGUAGGGUGCAAGCGUUGUCCGGAAUUAUUGGGCGUAAAGAGCUCGUAGGCGGUCUGUCGCGUCGGCUGUGAAAACCCGGGGCUCAACCCCGGGCCUGCAGUCGGAUACGGGCAGACUAGAGUGCGGGUAGGGGGAGACUGGAAUUCCUGGUGUAGCGGUGAAAUGCGCAGAUAUCAGGAGGAACACCGGUGGCGAAGGCGGCUCUCUGGGACGAUAC
rnacentral:rRNA from 1 species